rnacentral:lncRNA from 1 species
GCACUGGGUAUCCCCAAAGUCUUUUAAGCUUGACUUUAGCAGGCUUAGUGUACUUAAAACUACACUAAAAAUUUUCUGGGAGAUCCUAUAUAUUCAGUCACUUUUAAGAAUUGGGCAUUAUUUUAAAGUCCUUACUAAAGCCCACUAAUAUUAAUGAUAGUUUCUUUUAAGUUUCUAUAACCUUCUACACUAUCAGUACAGCAUAAUGGCAUUCAUUUAAUGAGCAUCUACUGAGCACCUACUAUGUGCAAAGUAAUAUUAACAUUCUGUAAGUUCCAUAAACAAAAACGUCUUUUUUAAAAUUGAAUUCCAUUCACUACUAUAGUGUCAUCAUUUUCAGGAAGGCAAUAAAGAUGGGGAGUUUGAAGGUAUAAAUAUACAAGAACAUUCCUCAUAUAUACUCACGUUUGUCAGCAUGAAAGCACAUAUACAAGUUUUCCCUUUAGUAAUCUUCACAUACUUUUUCUGUUAAUAUUCUUAGCUAGCUACAAAACGGCAAAACUCCCACAAGAUCUUUUGUGACUUGGAAGACCAAUAAAUAAUUUCAAUAUGAUUGUGAAAAUGAAGUGUCUUUCUAUGUAAUGCCAAAUGUCUGGAUGAAAUAAGACUUUCUUCAAUCUUCCAGAUGUGUGCAAAUAUUUAGAUUAUUGUAGCUGAUAACACAAUACUUUUUUUAAACUUUUCAUCCAGAUAUUUUGACAUUGUAUAGAUAGAGCUGAGAUACAAAAGUAAUAGGGAAGGGUUGGAGUAGAAGAAGAAGAAGGAGAGAGAGAGAAAGAGAGAGAGAGAACAGAAACACGGGGAAAAGUCCUCAAAAGAUGGAAAUUUGGUAAUUAAAAUUAUCUACACUAUACCAAGAAUCCUCACAAUUAGUUGAAAAAAUGACUCACAUUUCAUGCUUUGGAAAACAUUUUAUGCUUUGGAAAAUGUUCCCUUCACAACAACCUUGAGAGGAAAGGGGAAAUUAUUAUUGCCUAUUUUUUGCAAAAGAGAAAACUGAAGCAUAAGAAUAGUAUUAUUUGAUUGUCACACCUUCAAGGUCUGCAGAAACGCCAAAGACCAAAUAUUUCAAUCUCAAUUUUGAAAAAAGGAAUGCCUUUUAUAACAUAUCAAAUCCAACAGUGCUAUGUUUGAAAAUUUUGAAUAGGACAGAGUCAGGAACCAAGACUCCCCAAGAUAAUCCCUUCCUAACUGGAAUAUAUAAAUGGCUUCCUUCCAACUGUUAUCAAAUAACUGAGGAAACAAUGCAAGCGAAACAAUUUAUUGGUACAGGCAUAAUAAAUGGGUCAAUGGAUUUCUCAGUCAAUCCAAAGACCCUGAAUACAGAGUAAGACACAUUUUUAUGUAUUAAAAACAAUUAAUCAAAUAAGACCAAUUAUUUAAAACAACUAAUCAGGAUACAAAAUUAGAUUAUUUGAUUUCUAAUUGUGGGAAAGACUAGGGACUUUCCUCAUUGGGAAGGGGAGAGCAAAGAGGUACAAUUCCCUGAAAUCAGAAAAUGAGGUAUCCUAUUCUCCCCAAGAGUCUGUAUUCAAUCAAAGGAACAUGGAAACAAUAAUUGAUUGACCAGUAAGGAGACAAUUUUGAGACAUUUGCCUAAUGUUUGAGAUGUAUAACUGUGAGAAACGUCCUUGAAUCAAUCUCUGGAUCUGACUGGGUUUUUUGGUCAGCAUAACUUAAGUCUUAGUUAGGGCCUAGCUUCCCAGUUAUGUAAGGUUAGAUUCAAGCAAUGAAUAAGGUUUUCUCCCAAUUCUCAUAAUUGAAUAAAGUUUUCUCACAAAACAGAAAUUGGAAUAGACCUAUAAUUGAAUAGAAAGGGAAUUGAAGACAAUCCCAAAGGACUAAUGAUGAAGCAUACUAUCCAUCUCCAGAGAAAGAACUGAUAGUGUUUGAAUAGAGACUGAAGAAUGCUAUUUUUCACUUUAUUUGUUUUAUUUUUUCUUUUAUUCAAGUCUUCUUGUAUAAAAUGACUAAUAUGGAAAUUCUUUGCAUUAAAAAAGAGAACUGAGUUACUUCCAGAAUUGAGUCACAACAUGGAGUUAGAAUUCAUUCAAUUCUCACAUAUCUUCCAUCCAUUGCUCCAGUUCUGUCCUCUGAGGUCAAGCUGAAAAAAUAUGAUCAAUUUUUGAAAGGAGAGCCCUUCAAAUUCUAAAGACAGCUAUCAUGUUCUUCCUUCUCCCACUCUAUCCGGGCCUUCAUCCUUUCCUUCUUCAGGCUAAUUUUCCCCUACUUCUUUCAGGUGAGUCUCAUAGGCAUAAACACGAAUCCCUUCACUAUACUUUUUGUCACCCAUUGAACAUUUUCUAGCUUACUAAAGGUUUUCCUAAAAUGGAAAAACCUGUACCGGAAACAAUAAUACAGAUGUGUUGACCAGGGGUGGAUCCUGAACAUUAUAUCUCUCUUCAUGAAAACUAAUAUUGGAAGCUGGAUCAAAAUAUGGGCUAAUAUUGAGGUUGUAUUCUAUCAAAUCCUCCCACUUCUUUUCAGAUGAACUGCUAUCUAGCCAUACUUCCUUUCUUCUCCCUCCUUUUUAUACUUGUGAAGUUGUUUUUUGAACACAAGUCCAUGAAACCUUACAUUUAUCACUAUUCAGUUAUCUUAUUAUAUCCUGCCUAAUGUUCUAAGCCUGCAACAUCUUUCUAAAUCCUUAUUUUAUAAUCCAUUGUGUGAGCUCUCCUCUCAGCUUUGGGUCAUUGGCAGAUUAGAUAAGGAUGCCAUUUUUGUUAUUAUCCAGUGUCAUUAAUACAGUGUUAAAUAGCUCCAAGCCAAAUCCAACUCAGCUCCUCUUCUCAAGUUGACAGGAAAUCAUAAAUAACUACUUUUUGUGUCUGGCCCAUUUGGUUAGUGCCAAAUCCACUUGUAUUAUUUUCUAGCCCAUAUUUCCAUCUUUUUUACAGGAAUAAUUCUUUGCUACAAUAUAAAGAAAUAUAUAUAUAUAUAUAUAUAUAUAUAUAUAUGUGUGUGUGUGUGUGUAUGUAUGUACAUACAUAUAUCUACAUAUACUUGGAUAUUUUUUGCUGAUGACACAGAGCCUAUGGCCAAAUACUUAAUCCAAAUUUUACAAUAAGAUACUGUAAACACCUCAUUAAAAAAAAAGAGAAAAAAAUCAAACUUCUCUGGUGCAGAGGAAGAGUCAAAAUUGAUGUAGAUUUUCCAGAUUGUGAGGGCAGUGCCCCCCAAUCCUUGUAAUAUGGAAGGGAUAAUUGUACUUAAACCCAGACUCUAAGCCUGUUCUCGUGAAUUUCCUGAUGCCUCUUUUUAUUGAUAACUUUCAGAAUCCCUUUUUUAUAUUGCUAUCCCCUUAACACCCCCUCAAGUUUCGGAGUUUGUUUCUAGAGAAUCAAAUCAAUUUGAAAACUCCAAGGGAGUAAGAAAAAAAAAAAUCUUAUGUGAAAGAAGAGAAAGAUUUCUGUUCUUAAAAUCCUUUGUAUAUUGAUAAAUUUAAAAAUCAUGUUGUAUGAGAAACAAACUGCUUUGGUCUGUCUUUGAGGUAUUUUGAUGUUGUGUUUUGAAAAUAUUGAAGUUAUAAUAAUGGCAACAGAAAAGGAACAGAUACACAGCUUACACUCAGCAAAAUGUCACAUUUUUUAAAUCUGGCAACAGGCCGAGAUGGUGACUGUCUUUUCAAAGUCCUGUGAUGUUAAGAUUUGCACAGUCCUCCUCCUCCUCCUCCUCCUCCUUUUUCUCCACCUCCUUCAAGAGCACUAAAUGAAACAAGACUCUGGAAAAAGGGGACCGGGAUUUGGCACUGGCUGAGAUAAGAAGAAUACAGCAUCCGAGAUCUCCAGACUUUGUGAGGGAGCCCACUCGCUCAGACCGUGCCUUUUCACAUGAUUACCAUCUGUGCCUCCUCAGCUCCUUCCAGCUCUGUGUAGGCAGCUCCUUGGAUUCACGCCUGAAAGCAUCGCUCUACCAGGGCCCUGGAAACUGUAGUCAAGUAACAGGCCCGGCUUGGAUUCCCUCCACUGGAUUAAAAAAAAAAAAAUGGAGACCAUCUAUUCUGAGGGAAGAUUCCCGCCGGAGAAAUCAGCAUGCUGCUCAGACUGAGAGACACCUUCUCUAUUCCUGUACAUGUUAACAUUUUCGUAUUUCUCCCCACAGAGCAGAAAUUUGGAGAUUUUAGGGAUUUUAAAAGUAAUUUAGUAUAAUCCCACUAGACAGAUAGGGGAACUGAGGCUGCAGAGAGGCUAAAUGAUUAAUCUGUGGGAGCAAAUGGCCAGAACCGGGAUUUGAAACCAGGUGAAUCUCACACAAUACCUCUUUUUGGGAGGCCUUUUGUGGAUAUUCAAAAAAGGACUUAAAGGACACCUUAAGAAGUAAUUAUUUUUAUGGCAAAAAUACUAUGGCUCUUCUCUAGUUUCUUUGAGAUCUUACUCCAUAGACACAAGGGACUGGAGAUUGUGGCCACCCAAAUGCACACAAGGAGAUACACUUGGAUUCAGGUGUACGUGGAUUAUUUGCGCAGGAAGCCUUUGGAAGAAAAGGGGAAGGGGGAGGGAAGAAAUAAUGCUACUCCCUAACUGUAUCAGCUCCCAUGAGAAAGGCUCCUUUGGAAAGUCUCCUUGUAGCCUACCCAUGCAAUGAAUGCCUUAACCAUUUUCUUUUACUUUUCCAGUACCUUAUUAUCUCAAUUCCUUAGCUCCACUAUAAUCUGUUAAUUAAAUAUUGCAGAGCCACUUUCAUGCUCUAAGUUUGUACUUCUGGCAUAAAUGAAAUGGUUAAUAGAAAUUCAAGCUUUUGCUACUUGUUUAAGGGGGUUGUUUAUAAAGGGGGCAUAUGUAAUAAUGCAUAUUUUCUUUAUAAAUAAAAUACUUUCAUAUUCUCUGA